AUUGAACGCUGGCGGCAGGCCUAACACAUGCAAGUCGAGCGGCAGCGGGAAAGUAGCUUGCUACUUUUGCCGGCGAGCGGCGGACGGGUGAGUAAUGACUGGGAAAUUGCCCAGUCGAGGGGGAUAACAGUUGGAAACGACUGCUAAUACCGCAUACGCCCUACGGGGGAAAGCAGGGGACCUUCGGGCCUUGCGCGACUGGAUAUGCCCAGGUGGGAUUAGCUAGUUGGUGAGGUAAUGGCUCACCAAGGCGACGAUCCCUAGCUGGUCUGAGAGGAUGAUCAGCCACACUGGAACUGAGACACGGUCCAGACUCCUACGGGAGGCAGCAGUGGGGAAUAUUGCACAAUGGGGGAAACCCUGAUGCAGCCAUGCCGCGUGUGUGAAGAAGGCCUUCGGGUUGUAAAGCACUUUCAGCGAGGAGGAAAGGUUGAUGCCUAAUACGUAUCAACUGUGACGUUACUCGCAGAAGAAGCACCGGCUAACUCCGUGCCAGCCGCCGCAGUAACAC
rnacentral:rRNA from 1 species